CAUUUGAUUAAGCAGAGAGUUCAAUGAAAUAUAAAUAUAUGUAUCUUAAUUUUUUACUUUUGAUUAUGCCCGUGGGUUCAUGUAGAAGUUUUUUAAAUUUUGUUAUUGGUUAUUAGGUGAAUCCUCAUUGAUAGUCUUAUGUGUCUUGUCUUGUUUUAUAUGUAUAAAGAAAUCUAAUGUGAUUGAUGUUUUGACAAUUUGAAAAGCUUUUCAAUUAAAUAUUAACUAUUUCUAUACAUCUUAUAAAGGUUGAAUUGUGGAAUAUUUAAUGUCAUUGCUUGUAAUAUUAUUUUUUCUAUGAACUUUACACGUAUCUAUAUAAGAAGAUGAAUAAGGUCGCAGAUCAUUUGAUUAAGCAGAGAGUUCAAUGAAAAAUAAAUAUAGGUAUCUUAAUUUUUUACUUUUGAUUAUGCCCGUGGGUUAAUAUAGAAGUUUUUUAAAUUUUGUUUGAUUCAUGUUUUAUUUGUUAAGUAUCUGAUACUAUAUUUAUUGUUCUUCUUUCUCAUCUUAUUUAGCCAUUUUCUUAAUGGCUAUAACAAAUAGUAAUGAAGUUCCCUAACACCUCUUAAGCAUAGUUAUGAAACCCGACCCGGUCAUCGACUCGGUCUAGUGACCGGGUCACGGGUCAGAUGGGUUGACCCGGGUCAACAAAAAAAAAAUACAA